rnacentral:misc_RNA from 1 species
UCUUUUCUUGAAACAUGAAAACUAGCAGAAAAAUCAGCAAUAGCUGUUAGUAUUUUUUUGAAUUUAAAUUAGUUGUAACAAUCCAAAGAAUGGGCAACAAUGCAGGAAAAUUUGUCAGCUUCUUUUGUAUGAAUAAAUCUGUUGGUUGAAUAAAAUUUCAUCACUGCAAUUAUCAAAUCUUUCUGGUCCUUUUCUCUAUUUUAUUGUUGUUCUUACUUCAAAACUAAAAACUCUCUCUACAGUGAACAAUAACAAAACCUUUUAAACCACCUUUUGAUCCAACAUACUUUUAAUAAUUUCAGAUUCACAUGCCUACUUGCUCAUUAGUUAACUACUCCCUCCAAAGUAAUGCAUCAAGCCUACUUUAUCAUUAGUCCAUUACUCCCUCCGAAGCAAUCUUCUAAAUAAACGGCGCUUACGAGCUCUGGUCUUGAGAUCUUUCAAUCUGCCAGCUAGAUAUAAUGCUUCCUCUGCAAUGGGUCUCCAUUGUUCUGCGCAUGAGAAGUUGAUUCCAAGACCAACACUAAGACCUCUUAAAAGAUGCACUGUACGAAGAACAGAAAACAGCUCUUCUGGAAAAGCCUACCAUAGCCAAUACAUAAGAAUAAGAAAAUUGUAAAGUUAGAAAAGAAUAAUGGUGCACAGAUUAUCCAAUCUAUCUUCUCCUUCUUCUCUUCUUUUAAGCAUCAUUAUCAAAGCAAAACAGGGCGUGAAGUCAUGAGCCUAAGUUAUCAGGGCACUAAUUCACAACAAACCUGCUCUGUUACACCCCAGUUCCUUUCCUCAAGUGAUCCAGAAAAGACCAACUAAUGCUUACCUGAACACUGAUCUUUUUAAUUGAAGAGUCCUCUGAGAAAGGCUGCAACAUUGCUACUCCAGGGGGUAGUUUAGUAUCAAACAUAGUUUGUGCCAACUUAAGCAAUUCCUGUAGUUCAUUCUCACAUUUGCUCUGCGUAACAAUGCCAAGCUCUCUAAAAUGGGAAAAACAGCAAUGUGAGCAAAGUGCACAAAGCAGUCCAAUAAUUCACUAUGAUAUAGGCAUGAUUAUCGAACUAAAGGUAAAGGUGACAACUGAAUUCUACUAUUCAAGCAUUAGCAUUAUUGAACAAGAUCUCUUUUUAACCAUCCAACCAUGAGGACCUAUUGCUAAUACAUGCAAUAAGAUGCCCUUGUAGCCCAUCAUUUUUGUCCUCAGUUUCUUGGCAUGUGCUGGCAAACCAAUAGAAAAUCCUCUGCAUGAAUUUGAAGCAACUACAAUGUGCAAUGAUUACCUGUAACUCUCUGAUACUCUUAUAGGGUCAUUAUCAGCCAUAGCAAGUACCAAAUUAGCAUAUCCAAGCCUCAACGAAUCUGGGAGAUCCUUAACUUGACCAUAAUCUAACAAGGCAACCUGACUUGAGGAAGAAAAAAACAUACAAUUAAGUCUGGUUGCACAUCAAACAUGCAUGAUUAAACGAGGUGGAAGAUUAUCCACUUAUUUAUAUAAUUUCACAUUUAAUGUGAAGUAAUAAUCAGAAAGAGUAGCUAUCAGGCAUCAUCAACAUCAAUCAUAAGAAUACAGUAAAAAGAAGAUCAUAUGACACAAUCAAGAACAAGAAAGAAAGUUAAAAGCAAACAAAUGGUCGCCGACUUGCCUCAGAACCUUUGCAUAUUAAGAUAUUUCCUGGAUGAGGAUCUGCAUGGAAGAAACCGCUCUUCAAUAUCAUUUGUCCAUAUGCUAGUGUCAUACUUUUAAGUAUGUUCCUGCACUCACAUAAAUUUUAACGAGUGUGUCAUGCUUCCCCUAGCUGUUCAAAGAAAGACUGCUAAUCUAUUUCAAAGAGCAGCCAGGUCUGAAACAAAAAUCGUGUUCCAAUAAGAAUUAUUUCAAGAAAUUAAAUCAGUAAAUUCAGGAGAGAAAAAAGUUUAGGAACAAAAAGCCAUCUGCAAAAAGGACUGUAUACUCUUUGAGAUGAUCUAAGAGCUUACUGCUUUGCUGUCAUUGCAAUCUUACUACCAGGAUUUAUUCCCCUUUUGGCUAUUUCAUCACCAAGAUUCAGGAUUGGGAUUCCAUCAAUGUACUCCAUCACUAAGACCCUCCUGGUGACCAUAUCCUUCAGCACUCGUGGCACCAAAACAGGACUUUUUUUGUUAUUCUCAUACAAAAAACGACGGAUUCUCUCCAUAGCAUUAGCCUCCCUCACGAAGUCAAAUUCAUAUCCAAUCUGUUUCUCCAUUUCUUUAGUCACAGAGUACAGAUCAAAUUUGAUAUCUGUCUUUUGCAUGUAUAAAGCGAAUGCUUGUAAGUUCCGAAUAUCUGUCAUCAUCAGCUCCUUGACCCCUGGAUGUUGCACCUUGACGACAACAUCACUCUUAUCACCUUUCAGUCUUGCUCGAUGGACCUAAUUUGGUUUAAAAAAUUUACACUUCAAUUACAAACAGCUAAAUUCUAAGUAGUAUAUUUCUCAUUCUUAUUUAAAAUUCCAUCACAUAUUGUGAGACCACCAUUUUUCCUACAUAGCAUUGAGACAAGGCUUCAUAACAGAGUAAAAUGAAGUUUUAAGGGAGUUCUAAUAACAAACUACAAAGACCACAAUCCUUCCAUGCUUCUUGUACAUUCUGUUCACUCUUGGUGGCAUUGAAUAGCUUAUCAAAAUACUUUGGAACGAUCUCUCUCAGCUUCCAGCCUUCCACUUAAGAAAUUUGAAAACUGAAUUUGUCUACCGAUAAUAAACAUUUUUUUUGCAAGCUAACACAUGAGUAUACUACUCAUUACCCAAAAAGAAAAUUACCACAACACAGUUGUCUGUUUUCAAGAUCACAAAAGUUACAAGCACAAAAUCAACUUUUGUUCUAACAGAUAUCAUUUAUCAAUAGCAUUUUUUUUUUUUUUAUGUUUCUCAUAAUGCCUUCAAGAACAAAACUGCCUUCAGCAUGCCAAAAACUCAGGUACAAAAAUUUCUACUUUUCUAGCCAGGCAGAUAUUUUAGAUGAAAUACAUUACCUGAGCAAUUGAAGCAGAACCAAGAGGUUCUUCUUCAAAAUUUUCAAAAAUUUCUCCAACACUUUGACCUAAUUCCUUCUUCAGCACAAGUUGAACAGUAUCAAAUGGUGUUGCCGGAGCUCUGUCGAACAGUGUAACAAGCCUUCUCACCCACGCAGAUGGGGCCAAGUCAGGCUUUCCAAUGAUUUGGGCGAUCUUAAGGAAGAACCCACCAAGAUCAGAGCACAUAGCAUAAAUCUUGUCAGCAGCCAGGUCAUGCUGCCUUUCCCACAUUUCCUCCUGCUUCUGCAAAUCCUUCACCAAACUCACUCGAAGUUGAAACACCUUAUAUCCAGUGUAGAUGUCAGCUGCGCGAACCCAGAACUGAAAGGAGCGAUGAAAGGGUCUAAAGUGAGUAGAGAGCUUAUCCUGAAUGUCUUU